GAUGAACGCUGACAGAAUGCUUAACACAUGCAAGUCCACUUGAACUUCGGUUUGGGUGGCGGACGGGUGAGUAACGCGUAAAGAACUUGCCUCACAGCUAGGGACAACAUUUGGAAACGAAUGCUAAUACCUGAUAUUAUGAUUAUAUGGCAUCGUAUAAUUAUGAAAGCUAUAUGCGCUGUGAGAGAGCUUUGCGUCCCAUUAGCUAGUUGGAGAGGUAACAGCUCACCAAGGCGAUGAUGGGUAGCCGGCCUGAGAGGGUGAUCGGCCACAAGGGGACUGAGACACGGCCCUUACUCCUACGGAAGGCAGCAGUGGGAAAUAUUGGACAAUGGACCGAGAGUCUGAUCCAGCAAUUCUGUGUGCACGAUGAAUUUUUUCGGAAUGUAAAGUGCUUUCAGUUGGGAAGAAAAAACUGACGGUCCCAACAGAAGAAGUGACGGCUAAAUACG
rnacentral:rRNA from 1 species